UACGUAGGGAGCAAGCGUUAUCCGGAUUUAUUGGGUGUAAAGGGUGCGUAGACGGCACGGCAAGCCUGAUGUGAAAGCCCGCGGCCCAACCGCGGGACUGCAUUGGGAACUACCGGGCUGGAGUGCCGGAGAGGUAGGCGGAAUUCCUAGUGUAGCGGUGAAAUGCGUAGAUAUUAGGAGGAACACCAGUGGCGAAGGCGGCCUACUGGACGGUGACUGACGCUGAGGCUCGAAAGCGUGGGGAGCAAACAGG
rnacentral:rRNA from 1 species